GACGUAGACGAACCAAGCAGUUGCGAAUGCCAUUAGUGCUACCAUGGUCAAAGAAGGGACUUAAGAUUGGCAAAGACAGCAACAGAAUCUGAAAAUGUACGAAAAGAAUAUGACGAGGCCAACAGAAAGUUAUCUAAACUAAAAUCAAGGAUAUCUCGCUUAACAAAGAAGCUAGCACAUGAUUUUCGUAUGUUUUGUUUAUUUAAUCUUGUAAAUUACAGAAGUUUUCCGUCUUUUCUAUGGUUCUUCUGUGACCCGUGUUUGACUUUGUAGGACCAGAGAAGGAAUUCUACUCGCGAUAUGGUCAAUGUUUUGAAAGCAAACAGAACAAGUUACAACCUUUGCAACUUUUUGUUUACCUUUUUUUCCAUAUUGAGCUAUAAAAUUUCUUUAUCUAUUUUCUCUAAGUUUGAAUUGUUCCUGUUUUUUGAUUGAUUUCAUUC